GUUUCCGUUUCAUGUGUUAAAUACGGGAUCCAAGAUGUUUUUUUUUCGCUUGUUUAAAUUGAGCCCAUCAAACGUGUUUAACCAGCCAACGUGUUUAACCAACGUGUUAAACCAACAUGUUUAACCAACGUGUUUAACCAACCAACCAACCAACCAACCAAUCAAUCACUUAAUGUAUGUUUCCGUGUCAUGCGUUUAAUACGGGAUGCAAGGUCUCUUGAGGUCUUUUUCCCCUUGUUCUAAGUGACCCUAUCAAACGUGUUUAAUCAAACAACCAACAAACCAACCAACCAACCAACCAACCAAUCAAUCAACCAACUUAUCAAUCAAUCAAUAUGUAUGACUGUUUAUUUAUGACAGUUUAUUGAAGGAACAAACUCUCAAUUAUUCAAGAAAAUUUUUAUUUUAUUAUUGUUCUUACGUCUCUUCUGAAAAAAAAAUCCACAUAUUCUCUGAAACUACAAGUCCAAUCGACCUGAAAAUUUGCAGUCAGCAGGGCAUACAUGUACUGAAGGUUCAUAAAAAAAACUUUUUGCAGAUAUCUCUCAAGACUUUUCCUAGAAAAAAGAAAUGGCAAUGCAGUAAAAAUCGCUUGCUAGGUCCGUCAAUCUCAGUAAAAACCUACAAUAAAAUGUCCGCUCCGAGAUUGAAAUACUAAUCUGUGUUACAAACAGGUGCUGAAAAAUGGACAUUAUCAAAAAAUAAUCAUUAAAUGUGUUUUAAAGUUACACCGGAUCAAUUAAAUCCAAAACAUGCACUGCUUGUGAACUGUCAUCAAAAUGUCAAUUUCCUACAAUGACAAAAGAAAUUACAUUGUGUACAUUCCAUCUCUAUACAUGUUGUCUGUUCAACGUCCCGACCUAAAAAGAAAUAAAAAGACUAAGUUUUUCUUAAUAUAAACCCGCGUCACGUGAUGUCUCCUCAAUCUUGCGCGCGCGCUGUAUCUAAAAUAAAAGAAAAACUUUCCAAACUAAACAUGAAACUUCUCCGGUAACAUAAUAAUAUAGACCCCAUACCAAAGCAAACAAACAAACAAAUAAACAAAUACCCCCCCCCCUUUUUUCCAAAUCAAUCAAUAAAAAAAAAAUCAAUUAUCCAUUCAUCAGAGGGG
rnacentral:lncRNA from 1 species